UACGUAGGGUGCAAGCGUUGUCCGGAAUUAUUGGGCGUAAAGAGCUCGUAGGCGGUUUGUCGCGUCUGCUGUGAAAACCCGAGGCUCAACCUCGGGCCUGCAGUGGGUACGGGCAAACUAGAGUGCGGUAGGGGAGAAUGGAAUUCCUGGUGUAGCGGUGGAAUGCGCAGAUAUCAGGAGGAACACCGAUGGCGAAGGCGGCAUCCUGGACCAAUUCUGACGCUGAGUGAGCGAAAGCCAGGGGAGCAAACGGG
rnacentral:rRNA from 1 species